CGUCAUGUUGUACGAGACUGAAGAUAUUUAUGCAAAUUCAACUGCAUAACUGAAAUAAAAGAGAAAGAAUUUUGAAUAUUAUCGUAUAUACUUCGUUUUAAAUACUCUUGUCUUUCUACAUUUCGUUUGCAUUUUGUAAAUUUUUAUUCAAAUUUCCUGUACCCCAAAUGCACGAAUAUUUUCGUAGUCUGUGUUUUAAUGUCUCUUUUAUUUUGCACAGGUUGGGUUGCACAGAAAUAUUUUAAUGACGAGUAAAUUAAUAAAAUAAAAGUCGAUGUUAAUUUUAAAGUUUUAUCGACUUAAAAGAAACAUAGAGAAUAGAAAAUGAGACUAUGGAAAAUCGAUUUAUACCCGGUUAUUUAUUAUUUACGUAUAAAUUUUAAAUAAAAUUUUAUAAUCAUCAAAAAUGCAUAAUUGCACUUUCAUUGCAAAAUCCAUAUUAUAUAUAUAUAUCGAUUUCUAAUUAAGGUACCAUUGAUAUUUAUUUGAAGCUUUGAAUUCGAAGAAGCAAAUAAUCUACCCUUAACGAUCAUAAAACAUGCACACCUCUUAUACAUAAUAUAUCCAAUACAUAAUAUAUUAUAUGGAGAUACCACAUCUGCACAAUAGAAAGUAACAAAUAUUUAAUGACGUGGAUUUACCCUACUAAACACAAAAACCUAUUAACCUUGGAUUAAAAGCAAAGUAUGCUACGAAUUUAUGUCAUUAAAAUACAUAAAUUCGUUCGUAUAUUGUACCAAUAAUUAAAUAAAUAUUUUUAUUUAAUCAAAGAUUUAUACGAACGUAAAUUUGUAUCACGCACGCAGGAUAAAUAAAAAAAAAACAUAAAAUGCAUGUGUUUCGAUGCGAGUGAGGCCGAUCAAUAACAGCAAACAAUUCUGUACAUGCCAGACAUCAAGAAAUUAAUCUUGGUGGCUGACUGUAAGAAUACACUUACUACUUACCAAGCCAAAGUAGUUGGCCAAACUUGGGGGAAGAUCAGAAGAUCUUGUUAAAGAGUUUUGAAAUCGAUAUAACAUUGCGUCUUUCUUCUUCUUUUUCUUUUUCUUUUUUUUUUCACGACGAUAAGAGAAAUCUCAUCGCGAAACAAAUCGUUAAAUAGAAACGGUUCGAAUAUUUUAUUGUUGAGGAUUUAUCGGUGGUGAAAUAUAGAAAGGAGAAGAACGAAAGCCUUGAUCUCUCAAAGAUUUCGCUCGAUCUUGUCGAUAUUUCAACGCCGGAUUUCAACUUGAAAGAUGGAAUGACGAAAGAUCUUGUUAUCCAGAGCGAAGUAUCAGAGAUUACUAUCGAUUUUUAUAAUCAUUGAAAGUAUAUUUUACUUUAUUUAAAUCGAGGGCUUUAUUAAUGAGACACGAUAAUUGUAACAAAAGGAUAAUAUAAAAUUAUGAAGUAUAAGGAAAAUAACGAUGAAUGUGUUCUCUUUGUGAAGGAACGAAUGAAUUGAAUUUGUAAAUAAAUUCAUUAUGCAUGAUGAAAAA